CAGCCGCCACGGGAAUACGUAGGUGGCAAGCGUUGUCCGGAAUUAUUGGGCGUAAAAGGCUCGCAGGCGGUUUCUUAAGUCUGAUGUGAAAGCCCCCGGCUCAACCGGGGAGGGUCAUUGGAAACUGGGAAACUUGAGUGCAGAAGAGGAGAGUGGAAUUCCACGUGUAGCGGUGAAAUGCGUUGAGAUCGGAAAGAACACCAACGGCGAAAGCACUCUGCUGGGCCGACACUGACACUGAGAGACGAAAGCUAGGGGAGCAAAUGGGAUUAGAUACCCGGGUAGUCCCUGUCUCUUAUAU
rnacentral:rRNA from 1 species